rnacentral:rRNA from 1 species
UACGUAGGCAGCAAGCGUUAUUCGGAUUCACUGGGCGUAAAGGGUGCGCAGGCGGCCAAGUGUGUGAGGCGUGAAAGCCCGGGGCUUAACCCCGGAAUUGCACCUCAAACUACAUGGCUAGAGCAUUGGAGAGGGUAGCGGAAUUCACGGUGUAGCAGUGAAAUGCGUAGAUAUCGUGAGGAACACCAGAGGCGAAGGCGGCUACCUGGACAAUUGCUGACGCUCAGGCACGAAAGCGUGGGGAGCAAAAGGG